rnacentral:lncRNA from 1 species
UGGAACCUAGCUGAGAGGAAGCCCAGGCAACGUGGUGAUGCCACACAUGGGUAUUCUGCUCAACAGCCCCAGCUAAGGUCCCAGCCAACAGCCAGCUUUGACUACCAGACAUGUGAAUGAAUGAACCUUCAGAUAACUCCAGCCCCACCUUUGAGUCUUUCAGCUGAGCCUCAGACACUAUGAAGCAGACUAGCUGUCCUCAAAAUGCCGUGUGCGAAUUCCUGACCUACAGGAACCAUGAAAAUAGCUCUUGCCUACAGUUUCCUCUUCUCUCCCUCUGCCUCCUAACCAUCCCUGGUGCUUCCUCAACUGGCUCUGUGUGCUGUGCCUCCUGUUUCUAGAGAACGUUUGCCACAUCUGUAGAUCUCUUCACUCCUGUAAUUUUAAACUCCUGGAGGCAAAAGCUGUGUCGCAUUUAUCUUUGACAGUGCUUCACCUCGCACAAUGCUUCCCACACGGU